rnacentral:rRNA from 1 species
UACGUAGGGCGCAAGCGUUGUCCGGAAUUAUUGGGCGUAAAGAGCUCGUAGGCGGUUUGUCGCGUCUGCUGUGAAAACCUAAGGCUCAACCUUGGGCUUGCAGUGGGUACGGGCAGACUAGAGUGCGGUAGGGGAGAUUGGAAUUCCUGGUGUAGCGGUGGAAUGCGCAGAUAUCAGGAGGAACACCGGAUGGCGAAGGCAGAUCUCUGGGCCGUUACUGACGCUGAGGAGCGAAAGCGUGGGAGCGAACAGG